GUAGAGACAACAAUGUUAUCCCUAAUGGACUAAGGAUACGACUGUCAAGAGAUGAAUAUCAAACGCGUAAUCUUACAAGAAUGAAAGCAAGGCUUGAAACGGCACGAGUGCAGUCACGUAUAAAAGAAGUAAGACGAAAAUUAUAUUCAGUAGAUCAUCAACGAAGGGAUAUUCUGACGGAAUUGAAAACAACUCUUAUACAAAAGGAUUUCUCUUGGCUUGAACAGGUAAUGAAAAAUUCAGAACAUAAAGAGAAUAAGAAAGUGAAGGAGAGACAGAUUAAGAAAUAUAAAGCAUUAAUUGAUGAGAAAAGAAAGCUUGAAGAAAAGUUAAAUGAAAGAUUGAAAGAGCAAGAAGAAAUGAGAAAGGAAAAGAUUAAAAACGAAGUAAUUGAUCUUACUGAUGAUGAUGUGAAGAAAUAUCUAGCAUUGGGACCAGAUUUUUCGGAAGCUCCCACACGAGUACCAUAUGAGAAAAUUAUUUCAGAGACAGAGAAAAUGUGUUCGGUGAUUGACAAGGAAGGGGAAUUGAAAGAAAUUGAUAAAGAAAUCGUUGAACGUGAAUUGAGUGACGUACGUGAAAGUAUGAGAAUGAUUUUAGAAAAAGCAAGACACAGGAAGUGUCAAACUAACUUGACAAAGGAUGAAAUGAACGGAAAGAAAAAAGCUAUGAUGGACGAGAACAGAGUAUUUCUACCAGCGGACAAAGGACGUAUUAUGGUAGCAAUGGAUAAAUGGGAAAGUGAGCGAAAGGAACAAAGCUAUGAAUAUAAAAUGAAGAAUGUACUUAUUGACUUGAAAGCAAAGCCAUCCAUAAGGGGAGGAAAAGAUUGGGACUUGACUCAAAAAGUUUGCCGAGAAGGAUCGAAGAUCGUAGAAAGAAUUGUAAGAAAAAAU